rnacentral:rRNA from 1 species
GCUUAACACAUGCAAGUCGAGGGGCAGCAUUUCAGUUUGCUUGCAAACUGGAGAUGGCGACCGGCGCACGGGUGAGUAACACGUAUCCAACCUGCCGAUAACUCGGGGAUAGCCUUUCGAAAGAAAGAUUAAUACCCGAUGGUAUAAUCAGACCGCAUGGUCUUGUUAUUAAAGAAUUUCGGUUAUCGAUGGGGAUGCGUUCCAUUAGGCAGUUGGUGAGGUAACGGCUCACCAAACCUUCGAUGGAUAGGGGUUCUGAGAGGAAGGUCCCCCACAUUGGAACUGAGACACGGUCCAAACUCCUACGGGAGGCAGCAGUGAGGAAUAUUGGUCAAUGGGCGCAGGCCUGAACCAGCCAAGUAGCGUGAAGGAUGACUGCCCUAUGGGUUGUAAACUUCUUUUAUAUGGGAAUAAAGUUUUCCACGUGUGGAAUUUUGUAUGUACCAUAUGAAUAAGGAUCGGCUAACUCCGUGCCAGCAGCCGCGGUAAUACGGAGGAUCCGAGCGUUAUCCGGAUUUAUUGGGUUUAAAGGGAGCGUAGGUGGACAGUUAAGUCAGUUGUGAAAGUUUGCGGCUCAACCGUAAAAUUGCAGUUGAUACUGGCUGUCUUGAGUACAGUAGAGGUGGGCGGAAUUCGUGGUGUAGCGGUGAAAUGCUUAGAUAUCACGAAGAACUCCGAUUGCGAAGGCAGCUCACUGGACUGCAACUGACACUGAUGCUCGAAAGUGUGGGUAUCAAACAGGAUUAGAUACCCUGGUAGUCCACACAGUAAACGAUGAAUACUCGCUGUUUGCGAUAUACAGUAAGCGGCCAAGCGAAAGCAUUAAGUAUUCCACCUGGGGAGUACGCCGGCAACGGUGAAACUCAAAGGAAUUGACGGGGGCCCGCACAAGCGGAGGAACAUGUGGUUUAAUUCGAUGAUACGCGAGGAACCUUACCCGGGCUUAAAUUGCAUUUGAAUAUAUUGGAAACAGUAUAGCCGUAAGGCAAAUGUGAAGGUGCUGCAUGGUUGUCGUCAGCUCGUGCCGUGAGGUGUCGGCUUAAGUGCCAUAACGAGCGCAACCCUUAUCUUUAGUUACUAACAGGUCAUGCUGAGGACUCUAGAGAGACUGCCGUCGUAAGAUGUGAGGAAGGUGGGGAUGACGUCAAAUCAGCACGGCCCUUACGUCCGGGGCUACACACGUGUUACAAUGAGGGGUACAGAAGGCAGCUACCUGGUGACAGGAUGCUAAUCCCAAAAGCCUCUCUCAGUUCGGAUCGAAGUCUGCAACCCGACUUCGUGAAGCUGGAUUCGCUAGUAAUCGCGCAUCAGCCAUGGCGCGGUGAAUACGUUCCCGGGCCUUGUACACACCGCCCGUCAAGCCAUGAAAGCCGGGGGUACCUGAAGUACGUAACCGCAAGGAGCGUCCUAGGGUAAAACUGGUAAUUGGGGCUAA